CAAGACCUGAGUCCACCUUUCUUUGUUGAGUGCAUCAAAAGAGAGUCAUUGGUUUCAGUUAAUUAGUUUGGUCGGUUUCGCCCGUUCGUAUUGACUACUAUCAACACGGAGGUCAUUUUCACUGGUUCGGCAUGGCCUUCAUGAAAGAACACAAAACUCUUGACCCUUUUCUGUCUGACUUCAUUUUAGUUCCAUCUCUUGUAUCAUAUCAUCAUCAGGACCAAUAAUGUACAAUGAGAAAUUAGGAUUAGUUUAACUUAGCUUCCUCUAUUUCUAUACCUAUCAUGUGCAGUCGGACUGAGGGAACACAA